AGCGAACGCUAGCGGCGGGCUUAACACAUGCAAGUCGAGCGCGUGGCUUCGGCCACGAGCGGCGAACGGGUGAGUAACACGUAGGUCAUCUGCCCUUUGGUGGGGAAUAACCCGAGGAAACUCGGGCUAAUACCGCAUACUGCCUUCGGGUCAAAGGCUUCGGCCGCCAGAGGAUGAGCCUGCGUCGCAUUACCUAGUUGGUGGGGUAAUGGCCCACCAAGGGGACGAUGCGUAGCUGGUCUGAGAGGAUGAUCAGCCACACUGGGACUGAGACACGGCCCAGACUCCUACGGGAGGCAGCAGUGGGGGAAUAUUGCGCAAAUGGGGGAAAGCCUGACGCAGCCACGCCGCGUGAGCGAUGAAGGCCUUCGGUCGUAAAGCUACUGUGGGGAGAGAAGAAGUAAAGACCUGUGAAGAGCAGGCCUUGACGUAGUCUCCUUAGCAAGCACCGGCUAACUCCGUGCCAGCAGCCGCGGUAAAGUAGUG
rnacentral:rRNA from 1 species